AUUGAACGCUGGCGGCAUGCCUUACACGUGCAAGUCGAACGGCAGCACGGGAGCAAUCCUGGUGGCGAGUGGCGAACGGGUGAGUAAAGUAUCGGAACGUGCCCAGUCGUGGGGGAUAACGUAGCGAAAGUUACGCUAAUACCGCAUACGAUCUAUGGAUGAAAGCGGGGGAUCGCAAGACCUCGCGCGAUUGGAGCGGCCGAUAUCAGAUUAGGUAGUUGGCGGGGUAAAGGCUCACCAAGCCGACGAUCUGUAGCUGGUCUGAGAGGACGACCAGCCACACUGGGACUGAGACACGGCCCAGACUCCUACGGGAGGCAGCAGUGGGGAAUUUUGGACAAUGGGCGAAAGCCUGAUCCAGCCAUGCCGCGUGCAGGAUGAAGGCCUUCGGGUUGUAAACUGCUUUUGUACGGAACGAAAAGGUUUGGCCUAAUAAGCUGAGCUCAUGACGGUACCGUAAGAAUAAGCACCGGCUAACUACGUGCCAGCCGCCGCGGUAA
rnacentral:rRNA from 1 species